GACGAACGCUGGCGGCGUGCUUAACACAUGCAAGUCGAACGGAAAGGCCCUGCUUGCAGGGUACUCGAGUGGCGAACGGGUGAGUAACACGUGGGUGAUCUGCCCUGCACUUCGGGAUAAGCCUGGGAAACUGGGUCUAAUACCGGAUAGGAGCCAUUUUUAGUGUGAUGGUUGGAAAGUUUUUUCGGUGUAGGAUGAGCUCGCGGCCUAUCAGCUUGUUGGUGGGGUAAUGGCCUACCAAGGCGGCGACGGGUAGCCGGCCUGAGAGGGUGGACGGCCAAAUUGGGACUGAGAUACGGCCCAGACUCCUACGGGAGGCAGCAGUGGGGAAUAUUGCACAAUGGGCGCAAGCCUGAUGCAGCGACGCCGCGUGGGGGAUGACGGCCUUCGGGUUGGAAACUCCUUUCGCUAGGGACGAAGCUUUUUGUGACGGUACCUAGAUAAGAAGCACCGGCUAACUACGUG
rnacentral:rRNA from 1 species